GUCUGCGGCCACGCAGCCCUGAACAUGCCUGAACCCGGCUGAUCUCAGAAGCUAAGCAGGGUCGAGCCUGGUUAGUACUUGGAUGGGAGACCACCUAGGAAGACCAGGUGCUGUAGGUG
rnacentral:rRNA from 1 species